rnacentral:rRNA from 1 species
GGAUUAGAUACCCUGGUAGUCCACACCGUAAACGAUGGAUACUAGGUGUCCGGGACUUCGGUCCUGGGUGCCCAAGGGAAACCGAUAAGUAUCCCACCUGGGGAGUACGUCCGCAAGGAUGAAACUCAAAGGAAUUGACGGGGGCCCGCACAAGCGGUGGAGCAUGUGGUUUAAUUCGAUGAUACGCGAGAAACCUUACCUGGGCUAGAAUGCCCCUGACAGGCCGUGAAAGCGGUUUUUCCUUCGGGACAGGGUGCAAGGUGCUGCAUGGUUGUCGUCAGCUCGUGCCG